UAAACCUAUGAUUCAUGUCCUUGUCGGCAUUACGGCUUGUCCGCAGCAGUUUGAGACUUUUGAGUUGCCGAGCUUCACAGAAGAAAUCAGUAGCACUUGGAGAAAAUGCAGCUACUUGAAAUUUCCAUCUCUCUUUGGUUUUAGGUUGUGGUUCAGAUCAUGUGAAAAAUUAAGAAAUCAGUGUUUGAACCUUUGUAUUACUGGCUGUUUGCAUACUGUAUGUAUGAUUAAUGUUGUUGUGGGGUGUUUAUUCAACUCGAUGAUUAGACAUACUAUAUCUUGGCUUUUAUGGUGAAGAUUUUGUAGUCGGUAUAAAAGCUUAUAUACGAGCAAGAAAGAGGAAAAAAAAAUAGCCUAGUUAGUUGUCAACUAUCUAAUAAACUGAAAGUCGCUGGCUAAAUCUGGAAAUUAGGAAACUAUA
rnacentral:misc_RNA from 1 species